AAAGAGCAUUGACCUCUUUAAGUAUGUCAAAAUCAUAGCUUCAACCCAAAAAUUAAAAGAACAUUCAACCUGAUCAUUUCUUCAACCAAAACAGGGCAUUCAACACGCCCAUCUCUUUAAUCUAAUCAAAAUCACAAUCGCAACUCUAAUUACCACCAUAAAUCAAACACAUACAUACCAUUUUCAACAAACACACACACAAUAAAUCACCCAAAAUGAGAAAAAUAGAUUUGACAUUGUAAUUUUCCUUUGUUGAAUCAAGGGAGCUCAAGUGCAACCGAGAAAGAUUAAAAAAAAAAAAAAAAAAAUCCUAGAGUGCAAAAAUGCAAAAGUAACCUGAGAUGAAGGAUAAUAGACUAAUCCAUUUUCGCAUUUAAAAUGGUGCCUCCUUGAACCAUGCUUCCCUGUAUAGUUGUACUUUCAGAGAAUAGGCAUAUGAAGAUGAUGGUUCGACCAUCGGAAACGUUGGUCCCAUCGUCAACUUAACCUUCCAAAUGAAACCGGAUUCAAUAAAUCCUAUGCUAUCUCUCAAAUCCCCCCACUAUUACCAUGACCAACGACUACCAACAUAGAUGAAACCUGGAUGCAAAAAGAGAACAUUAGCCAAAUCGAAUGAACUCAAAUGCUAACAAAAACUUUUUGAGGGUUGGGUUCCAUCAAUGAUGCAAAAAAAUUGAACAUGUUUGGUGCACAAGGGGGGAAAUUCAGAUGACGAUAAUUAGGUCAAGAAGGGGAAACUCAGAUUACAAUAAUUAGGCGACGAAGGGGAAAUUCAGAUGACACAGGUGGUUGGUGGAGAGGGAGGAGUUGAUGGUGAAGAUGGAGGAGGGAAGAGAUGCAGUCAGCGGUCAAGAGGGAGGAAGUAUCGAUGCAAGCUAUUGUACAUGCUCUGGUUCAUAAUCAGAAAGUGAAGUGGGUUAUGGUUUUUGGUCUUGAACGACACUGUUUUUGGUAUCGGGAAACUCUGCCGGAGGAGUUACAGACGAAUAAGGAGAAGCAGUGGGAAGGACACAAACAAAGAAAAAAUUGAUCCUCUGAUAUUGGGAAACUCCAUUAAUGGAUCAUUAAUCUUGACAGGCCUGUAAAUCUUUUUUUUUUUGAUGAACACUCGUCUGAUCUUGUUUGUUUACUAGCUAUGGAUCGAAAGAGAGAACCAUCGACUCCUCUGUUCUGAUUAAGAAAGAGAACGAUCUACUCCAACACCUUGUCGAGAGAUCGAGAGAGAGAGAGAGAGAGAGAGAGAGAGAGAGAGAGAGAGAGAGAGAUUUUAUUAAUAAAACUUUAAAUUAAAUAGGAAAAAACAUAAAAAAUAUAUUAGAAGGGUAUUUUGGUCUUUUCAAUUAAGCGAAGGACCAAAGUCACAAGCAAACUACCUCAAAAGGACCACCAUUCUAAAAAAAUCGUGGUUUUGACUAAAACCCCAAAAAAUACGUACCACAGAGACCAUUUUUGCAUUUUUGUCUUUUAAAAAUUCCUUUUGUAAAAAAUCUUUUUAUAAAAAGUCGUAUUACAAAAAAGACUUUUGAAAGUAAAAAGUAAUCUCAAACACCCACUUAGUUUUAAAAACAGAAAAUAUCAAGGGAACUUGAAUAUAGCAUGUUGUAGUGUGUUGCGACGCCUUAAUUUUCAUAACAUGAUUUACUACAUAAUCAUUUUGUUAUUGCUUCAUCAUGCUUAAUUUGUUGCCUGAUGAUAACAUGUUGUAUUUGAUAUUGUAGUUGGACAGAAUAUACCCUAACUUUACCAACUUAGUUUAUGGGUAUCUUGAAAGAGAAAUUAAAUAUCAUCCUAUAUUUUCUUCAUACUCAUCAUCCUAUCCACUAUUUCCAUCAGGGAUGAGUAUUUGAUCUAUCGAGGCUACCAGGUCCAAGUCAAGGUACCGAUUCUUGGACUUAAGAGUGUGCAUUUUGACCAAACCGGCCCGGUUAUUGGACCAAACCGGCCCGGUUAUUGGACCAAACUGGUUUUAAAAAAAUUGAUGGAUCUUUGACCGAACCUGUUGAGGCUUACUAGGUCAAGAUCCGAUUCUCUGUCCAGAGAUCUAAAUACUCACCCCUACGUUUAAUAUGCUCCUCUUAUAAAGAUGCUUAUUCUUUUGUUGAAUUCCCCAUGUUAACCCUUUCUAGAAUGGGAGACUUAAGUGGAUGCUUAGCACUAUGUCUCUUGCUUGAAACAUUAGAAGGAUUAAUGGCAAGUAAAAGUAUAGAUAUCAAUGAACAAGUUGUCAUUUUAUUUCAUAUGAUUGCUCAUAAUGUUAAUUAAGCCAUGAUAUGUCGGUUAAGUUUCAACAUUUGGGAAAACCGGUAAGUUGAUAUUUUAGACAAGUUUGCAACUCAAUAAUAAAAUUAUAUCUACACAUUUGCUUAAGAAACCAUAACCAAUUUUCAACAACACUAUCAACUUUAAAUUGGAACGGUUCAAGCUAUAUCUAGUUUUUAUCGAUUGUUAUUGUCCUCUAGAAUAUGAAUCAAACAAAAGAACCAUAAACGCAAAUAUCAAAUCACAGUUAUUGGGAUAUCAAACAACUACACCCAGUUUAGAGAUAAGUUUAACUUGAUCAAACUGACAUUUUGUUACUUUCUCUAGCACCUCCCUCAGGUGCUCCUCAUGCUGCUCCUGAGUCUUGGAAUAGACCAAGAUGUCAUCAAUGAAUACUAUCACUGACCGAUCCAACAACGGCCGACAAACGCGGUUCAUGAGAUCCAUGAACGCGGCUGGAGCGUUGGUGAGCCCAAACGGCAUCACCACGAACUCAUAAUGACCAUACCGGGUCCUGAAAGCAGUCUUCUGCACAUCUUCAUCCCUGACUCGCAUCUAAUGAUACCCGGAGCGUAAAUCGAUCUUGGAAAACCAAGACGCUCCCUGCAGUUGAUCAAACAAAUCAUCUAUCCUCGGGAGUGGGUAACGGUUCUUCACCGUUACCUUAUUCAACUCCCGAUAAUCUAUACACAUACGGUGUGACCCGUCCUUCUUCUUCACGAACAAAAUCGGUGCUCCCCAGGGCGAACUGCUUGGCCUGAUAAAACCCUUGUCUAGUAGCUCAUGUAGCUACGUAGACAACUCCUGCAUCUCUGGGGGAGCCAACCGAUACGGUGCCUUGGCUAUCGGAGCCGCACCAGGGACCAGGUCAAUCGUGAACUCAACCUGUCUCUCGGGAGGUAUUCCAGGAAAAUCCUCUAGAAAUGAACUCAACCUGUCUCUCGGGAGGUAUUCUAGGAAAAUCCUCUAGAAAUACAUGUUGGGUUUUGAGCAAUCUAACACUUCCUAAGUGUGCAUGCAACCCUAAUAAACCUUGGAUCUAUGUUUGUCUAAAUACAUGCAAAAUAAUAAUUUUCCAAGGUUUAUAACCUAUCUAACAUGGCAUGGGGAACAUUUCAACAUAAAAGAGUUAGAAGAGAUUACAUACCUUUGUUGUGUUGGGUUCUUAGGAGUUUGAGGGCCAAGCACCAAUAGUGUGAAUGCCUCAAAUGGAAUCACAAACACCACAAACUCUUGGAAAACUUUGAGAGAGUAUACACACUCUUGUAUUUUCGGCCACACACAUGCACACACACACUAGAACACUAGCUUUCUCUUAGGCUAUCUUAGGCUCUCUUUCAUGCUCCAUAAGCAUGCUUAUAUAGUAUGCAUGGUUAGGGUGAAACCCUAAUAACCCAUGUCUUUUCCUAUUCCAAGGAUCCAUGGGUUAAAAGCUCCAUGGAUCAUCCAUGGACUUCCACAUAAGCCUAGCCCAUUAACAAAUGAGUAUUAGCCCACACUAUAUAAAACAAAUAGCCCAUAAUUUAAUUAGUAUUCCUUUUAAUCUCUAAAUUAAUCCAUAAUUAAUUUAAGACUAAAACUAAUUAAAUAACGUAACUUCAUAUUAAUAUAUUAUAACUCAUAAUAUAUUAAUAAACAUAUGUGUAUAACUCUCAUAAAAUUAUCCAUAAUAGUUUGGAUGAGAUGCAACCCAAAUGGACCAUGCCGGUCGGGUCAAGUAUAUACCAAAUAAGUUAUGGACUUAGACACCUUAUCCAACAGACUCCCACUUGGAUAAGUCUAAUAACUAUAUUUGCCUAUAACUUCAGGAACCAACCAACAAUCGUAGCUCUCGAAAACUCCCUCGAACAAUGAAGACUCUGUCGAACUAUGAAGCGCCAUUUUAGAUAAGUGAUCACAUAAUCCUCUGUUCUCAUGAUAUCAGCCGGACAAACACAUGGAACUAUGUCUUGCUUAUUGUCUAGCAGUUGUUUCUCGAUUAUCCGAUUUGUUUGACGAAGAACUUCACUGAACACAUCGGUUUAGUUCUGACCAGGCCUGGUAUAUGGGUCAACACAAAAUCAUCGAGGGGCCCGGAUAUCGCUUCUAUUUCUAGAAGGAACAGAUAAACUUCGACUGAUAUGCUUGUUCUACUACUUAUUGAAUUGUACACAAAGGCACGUUUUAUAACAUCAAGUUACUGAUGCGUUUACGUGCAAUCAAUGCACAACCAACUCAUAGGUAACAACUCAUAUCUCUAGGUUUAAAGAUUUAUAUGAUGUUAUCGUCUCACGAUCACUCGAGAUAAAUUCCAUGAAGUGAUACAAGUGAGCGUGGGUUUAUACCAAUACUCAUAACUUAUGAGUACUCAUGAAUGUUGCAGCAACCAUUGCCAUGCCUAAACACCUUUAAGGCAUCUACAAACCCAAUUCAUGACAAUCUUGAUUCAUACCUACUUCCGACGUAUGAUCGAUUGUGGAGGUUUGAACAAAUUAAUUAUUCUGGAAGUCAAAACAUGCAAAACUGAAACAAUAGUAAAUAAUUGACAAUGAUAGUAACACUUUACUCAUAAAUAAAUCACAAAUUUUAUUCAUCAUCAAACGUCGAUUACAUUUUACAAGUUUCAGGAAAACUAUCUAAUCUGUAAAACUAAUAUCGUCCCUCAGCCCGAUGCGUCUCGCAUGCUGAAAAUGCUUAACCCUCGUCAGUCCCUUCGUAAGGGGAUCUGCAGGAUUCUCAUCUGACGAUAUCCUCCUUGUCACAAGGAGUCCUUCUUCAAUCUUGUGCCUUAUGAAGUGAUAUUUUCUGUCAAUGUGUCGGGAUCUGCCAUGAUCUCUUGGUUCCUUGGCUAAGAUAACCGCAGCAUUGUUGUCACAGAAAAUCUCUAUAGGUUCCUUAAUAGCUGGUACAACUCCAAGGUCUCCGAUGAAGUUCUUUAGCCAUAUCGCCUCCUUCGCUGCUUCACUCGCUGCUAUAUACUCUGAUUCACAAGUCGAAUCAGCCACCGUCUCCUGCUUGGAACUCUUCCAAGAAAUUGCCCCUCCAUUUAAGGUAAAGAUCCAGCCCGACUGAGAGCGGAAAUUAUCCCUAUCAGUCUGAAAACCAGCAUCACUAUACCCUAAUAUUCUCAAGUCAUCACUGCCACCAAGGGUAAGGACCCAAUCCUUAGUCCUCCGCAGGUACUUGAGAAUGUUCUUUACCGCGGUCCAAUGAGCCUUGCCAGGGUUCCCCUGAUACCUGCUGACCAUGCUCAAAGCAAAUGCCACAUCAGGACGGGUACAAGUCAUAGCAUACAUGAUCGAGCCAACUGCGGAAGCAUAUGGUAAUUGGCUCAUCUCAGCUAUCUCAGCCUCUGUACUCGGACUCUGAGUCUUACUCAGUUUGGUAUUGCUUUGGAUCGGUAAAUCUCCUUUCUUGGAAUUCUCCAUGUUGAACCUUUUCAACACCUUAUCCAAGUAGAUACUCUGACUAAGUCCAAUUAGUCUUCUACUCCUUUCUCUUAAUAUCCUUAUCCCUAGGAUAUAGGUAGCCUCCCCUAGGUCCUUCAUAGCAAAGCACUUCCCAAGCCAGGACUUAACCUCCUGCAAGGUUGGGAUGUCAUUUCCUAUGAGUAGUAUGUCAUCCACAUACAGUACCAAGAAGCUAACUAUACUCCCACUAGCUCUGACAUACACGCAAGACUCAUCUUCGCUUCUCAAGAAGCCAAACUCUUUUACCUUCUCAUCAAAACAAAGAUUCCAGCUACGAGAUGCUUGUUUUAAUCCAUAAAUGGAUUUCUUAAGCUUGCAUACUCUAUUAGGGUACUCUGCAUUGACAAAACCCUCUGGCUGAUUCAUGUACACAUCCUCAGCCAACUUUCCAUUAAGGAAAGCGGUUUUGACAUCCAUUUGCCAUAUUUCAUAAUCAUGAAAUGCUGCAAUGGCUAACAUAACCCUAAUAGACUUAAUCUUGGCCACCGGCGAGAAGGUUUCAUCAUAAUCAAUACCUUGAGUUUGAGUAAAACCCUUCGCAACCAGUCGAGCCUUAUAAGUAUGCACUUUUCCUUCCAUGUCGGUCUUCUUUUUGAAGAUCCAUUUGCACCCGACUGUUUUACGGCCUGGUACAUUGUCAACCAAGUUCCAAACUUGAUUGUCAUACAUGGACUGUAUCUCGCUGUCCAUAGCCUCCUUCCAUUUAGCAGACUCCGGGCCUGCCAUGGCUUCCUUAACACUGCUAGGUUCAUCCAAAUUUACUAGUGUACUAUCACUAAUAAACGUAUCACCUUCCGUAGUAAUAUGAAAACCAUAAUAAAACGAAGGUGUGUUCCUAACCCGUGUGGAACGUCUCGGAGGUACAGACUCGUCAGCUGGAUCAACAGGAGUUUCUUCCUCAGGUUGAUUGCUAGUGUCUGAGGUUCCUUCACCAAUUGAUUCUUGAAUUUCUUCAAGAUCAAUCUGCCUCCCACUGUCUCCUUGGCUUAUAAAUUCUUUCUCGCGAAAGAUCCCUCUUCGUGCUACAAAGACCACAUUCUCACUGGGUCUGUAGAAAAGGUAACCGAAGGAUUUCUGUGGGUAGCCGAUGAAAAUACACCUUUCACUUCGGGGUUCAAGCUUAUCAUGAGUUUCACGCCUCACGAAGGCUUCGCAACCCCAAAUUUUGAUGUGGUCCAAAUUGGGAACCUUCCCAGUCCACAUCUCAUGAGGUGUUUUGGUAACCUUCUUUGUAGGGACUAGAUUAAGGAUAUGGGCGGCAGUCUCUAAGGCAUACCCCCAAAAAGAGAUUGGUAACGAAACUCGACUCAUCAUAGAGCGAACCAUGUCCAACAAGGUACGAUUACGCCUCUCAGCUACACCAUUCAGCUGUGGUGUCCUGGGAGGAGUCAAUUGUGAGACAAUCCCACACUCCUUAAGAUAGUCAAGGAACUCGGUACUAAGAUACUCACCACCUCGAUCGGAUCGAAGCAUCUUAAUGUUCCUGCCCAAUUGAUUUUCUACUUCCUGUUUGAAUUCCUUAAACCUUUCAAAGGUUUCGGACUUGUGUUUGAUCAAGUAGACAUACCCAUAUCUACUAUAAUCAUCAAUAAAAGUCACAUAAUACCGAUUAGCGUCCCUUGUGGCGGUUUUGAAUGGCCCACAUACAUCAGUAUGUAUUAGGUCCAACAAACCUUCACCCCUCUCACAAGUUCCAGUGAAGGGUGAUUUUGUCAUUUUUCCAAGUAGACAAGAUUCACAACUAUCAUCUGAUUUGAGGUCAAAUGAUUCCAAGACUCCACUCUUUUGGAGUUGGUCUAUGCGUUUCUUGUUUACAUGUCCAAGACGACAAUGCCACAAUGAUGCUUUAUCUAGGCUAGUAGAAGAAUCAAUAUACAACACAUUAUUUCCUAAGUUGUCUACAAUCGACACAGUUUCAUACACGCCAUCACAAGGUAAUGCUUUAAAAUAAAACACAUUAUUAAAGAAAGCAUUAAUACCACCACAUUCAUUAUCAAACGAAAAGGUAAAACCUUGUUUGUACAAAGCAUGAAAAGAAAUAAUAUUCCUCGCCAUUUCAGACGAGUAUACACAUUUAUUCAAAUCUAAUUUUAACCCAUUAUUAAGCAACAAAGUAUAAACUCCAAUCUUGGAAACAGGUGAAGCCUUCCUAUUCCCCAUGAUUAAGUUUAUCUUCCCGUGCUCCACAUCCUCACUUCUUCUUAGGCCCUGCAAAUCAGAACAUAUGUGAAUACCACAUCCUGUAUCAAGCACCCAAGAGUUAGAAUAUGUUGAGUAAUUAGACAAUAUAGUGUAAAUACCUGCAUAGGUGGGUUUCACUUUCCCAUCCUUUAGAUCCUGCAAGUACUUAGGGCAGUUUCGCUUCCAGUGUGCCUUUUCAUGGCAAUAAAAGCAUUCAGCAUCCUUUGGAAUGGCAGAAGGAGUGACAGAACCGUUCUUAGUCUUGGAUGAGGAGCCUUCAAGAGACUUUCCCUUGGUACCCUUCGAAGGGUGCUUCCUCUUUUUCCCUUUGCCUUGCCCAAUAGCUAAAACAGGGGUAGAAGUUGGAGUAGGAGUAGUAGAGGUAACAACCGCUUUACCCUUAAGACCGGUUUCAGCGGUCUUCAAGAGUCCUUGAAGCUUGCUGAGGGUAACUUCCUCCUUGUUCAUAUGAUAUGUCAUUCGAAAAUGAUCAUAACAAGAAGGCAAGGAGUGCAAAAUGAUGUCAAUUGCUAACUCCUCGGGGAUGUUAACAUUCAGCUUCAGCAAACGGUCCACAUACCUUUGCAUCUUUUGCAUGUGGCCCGUGACGGAUUCACCGUCCUUCAUGCGGGUAGUUAUUAUGGAGGAGAUUAUUUCAUACCGCUCCUGACGAGCACUCUGAUGGUACCUUUCCAUCAAGUCUUGGUGCAUCUCAAAAGGGUAGAAAUCUUCAUAUGACUUUUGGAGCUCGGCUGUCAUCGUGGCCAUCAUGAUACAUGCCACCUUAGUAGCAUCUCUCUCAUGAGUCCUGAAUUCAGCGAUCUCCUCAGGAGUAGCAGUAGACUCAUCAAGUUCUUUUAACUCCUUAUCGAGGACAUAUUCCUUGUCCUCGUAACGAGUAACCAUCCUGAUGUUCCUAAUCCAAUCCAUGAAGUUGGAACCAUCAAAGAUGACCCUCCCACAAAGAUUCAUGAGAGAGAAAGAACCAGUUGGGUUAGAGCCUGAAGCAUUAGUGUUGGAAGACAUCUGAAAGAAGAAAGUAAGUUUAGAUUAGAUAUUUAGGAUCCUUAAUAAGACACCCAAAUGUAAUAUUAAGGCUAGGAUCCAAUCACAAUAUAUUACACUUAGAAGAGGGAUGCCGUAAUCUAAGUAAUAAUAUAUUUGAAAGGUAGGCGAAUGACGAUUCACCAAUUUCCACCAUGAAAACGAAAUGAUUAAUUAGGUUUAAUUGGAUUUGAAAUUCCUAGAUUCUUUUGAGAUUCAUUGAACUUUUCAAUGGCAUGUUUCAAUCUCGAUUGUGCCCUUCAAGUUUUGUGACUGGGAUGCCGAGGAUCACAAAACAAGGUGUGAAUAACCAUGCUAACUCACUUGGUACUCCUAAUAUUAUCACCUAAUCAAUGUGCCGGUUAACCACACACGCUCCAUUGAUCUAUGACAACAUUAAGUUACCCUUCGUGAUCCUUACUAGUCUAAUUAGUGUGCCGGUUAACCACACACGCUCCACUAACGACUUGGUAAGGUACAAAGUGUGAAUUCCAUGGAUUAGCACCAUGUUCACAUUUUCCUAAAAUAACUAAGAUUGGGAAUUAAAAGAGUUUAGUUAUUUUAUAAUAUUCAUUAUACUUUUAAUGAGGAUUUAAAGUCGUUGUUCUACCCGUUCGGCUAACGACCCUCCACCGAUCAAGCAAGCGGUGGGUGAGAGUAUACACCCAUUAAGUCGCCAUUUUAUAGGCAACAACCUUAUACCCACCUUAUAGACCGGCUUCGUGAAUGAGGCCUACUAACGGUAAAACGACUUAUUCUUAUACAUAUAUAUAAUAAUUAACCAUUAAUGUUAUAAAUAGUAUAAGGGUUGAAUUUUAACUAUUAAAACUCUAAGGUUUGGAAUUAAAGUUUAUUAAAGUGUGUGAAACUUUACAAAUUCCAAAACUUGAGGACAAGUUUUGUAACUUUGCAAAACUCUUCAUUUCAUAACUUAUGAAUUAAAGGUUCAUAAAAAUGAAGACUCUUCAUUUUCAUGUAACUUAUGUGUUUUAAGUGUGUGUUAAAUGAAAGUGACCUUUGGUAAUCCAUAACUUGAGGACAAAUUAUGGACUCCAUUAAAACACAUAAAUGAUUAAGAAUUAAUUCUAAACAAUUCAGCAAAUAAUUCCUAUCAUUUUCUAAAUUCAUAAGAACAUGAACAUGAUCAUCAAAAAUUCAAGAAUUAUAUGAACACAUAAAAUCAUGGAUUUUUGAUAUAUGCUAUUGUAAAUGGAUUAGAACAACCAUUACACCAACUAAAAUAAGUUUUACAACACCAAAACAAUUUAGGGUAAUGUUUCCAGUCCAUUUCCAGCAGCAAAAGUCGAGAUUCUGCAUUCUUUCGAUCCUACUCGCCGAGUGCACGAACGGACUCGUCGAGUAGGUUGAAGUUUGCCUUGGACUCGGCGAGUCCCCCCAAUGGACUCGGCGAGUCUAGCAUGCAGACAGCAACGAUUUCGACUUUUUUCACUAUUUUGCAUCAAGUAUCAAACAAGCAAGCCUAGGCUCUGAUACCACUGUUGGGUUUUGAGCAAUCUAACACUUCCUAAGUGUGCAUGCAACCCUAAUAAACCUUGGAUCUAUGUUUGUCUAAAUACAUGCAAAAUAAUAAUUUUCCAAGGUUUAUAACCUAUCUAACAUGGCAUGGGGAACAUUUCAACAUAAAAGAGUUAGAAGAGAUUACAUACCUUUGUUGUGUUGGGUUCUUAGGAGUUUGAGGGCCAAGCACCAAUAGUGUGAAUGCCUCAAAUGGAAUCACAAACACCACAAACUCUUGGAAAACUUUGAGAGAGUAUACACACUCUUGUAUUUUCGGCCACACACAUGCACACACACACUAGAACACUAGCUUUCUCUUAGGCUAUCUUAGGCUCUCUUUCAUGCUCCAUAAGCAUGCUUAUAUAGUAUGCAUGGUUAGGGUGAAACCCUAAUAACCCACGUCUUUUCCUAUUCCAAGGAUCCAUGGGUUAAAAGCUCCAUGGAUCAUCCAUGGCCUUCCACAUAAGCCUAGCCCAUUAACAAAUGAGUAUUAGCCCACACUAUAUAAAACAAAUAGCCCAUAAUUUAAUUAGUAUUCCUUUUAAUCUCUAAAUUAAUCCAUAAUUAAUUUAAGACUAAAACUAAUUAAAUAACGUAACUUCAUAUUAAUAUAUUAUAACUCAUAAUAUAUUAAUAAACAUAUGUGUAUAACUCUCAUAAAAUUAUCCAUAAUAGUUUGGAUGAGAUGCAACCCAAAUGGACCAUGCCGGUCGGGUCAAGUAUAUACCAAAUAAGUUAUGGACUUAGACACCUUAUCCAACAAUACAUCCAGGUAGUCUCGCACUACCGGAACAUCAUUAACCGCCGUCUUGCCCUUCUCCCGGGCAUCUACGACAUAUGCAAUAUAACCGGCGCAACCCUGCUGGAAAUAGCGCCUCGCUCUCGCUGCUGAACACAGAACUGGUCCGUGAUGUGGCCUCUCGCCCUGAAUCACUAACUCUCCCCCACUGGGGGUGCGAACCCUCAUUAACUGCAGCUCACAAUCUAUCACCGCCCCAUUGGGGCUCAGCCAAUCCAUGCCUACUAUGACUUUAUUCCCUCGCAUGGGAAUAGGGACCAAGUCCAUUGAAAACUGCUUAUCAAAUAACUGUAGAGAACAUCCUCUGUGUACUCUCGCGACCCUGACGGUCCUGUCAUCUGCUAUCUCAACCUUAAGUGGAAAAUACAGCUCCCCCGGAGCUCUACUAAACCUCUUGCUAAGCGCAAGUGAAACAAACGAUCGGGUAGCCCCCGAAUCGAACAAUACUAUAGCUGGAAUGUCGUUCACUGAGAACGACCCUAUACAAAACAUAUAGCCAUAAGUAACAAUCAAUAAUAAAAGCAGAGAUAAGGGAAAAAUACAUACAUGUAACCACAUCAGGAGUUGCUCGCGCCUCCUCUGCGGUCAACUGAAAAGCCCAUUCUCUUCGCCACCAGCGUCUCACCCCGGCCCUAACGGUCGUCUGUAAUCCUCAAAGUAGCAAGAGCAGGUGCUGACACCUUUCCUGCAACAGCUAAACUCGGACACUGGGACUUUUUUAUGUCCCCUCUGAUUGCACUGGAAGCAAAUCAGAUCUGUUGCCGCAAUGGCGGUAGUAGUGGCUGUACAAUCUCUGCUCAUAUGCCUAGUUCGACCGCACUUGUAGCAGCUGGAACUCCCUGCCUUGCACGCCCUGUUGUGCAAUCUCCCACACUUGCCCACCGACCGUGGCUCUGCUGACUCCUGGAUCUGUGAUCUGAAACCUUGGGCUUUUUGCCCGAACUCCCUGGACCCGAAGCCGCCUCCGAUUUCCUUUUUCUCUCCAUCUCAAGGUCAAUCUCUCUCUCUCUCUCUCUCUCUCUCGCCCUAACAAUCAUGUCAUCCAUCGUUUUACAGCUGGACCGACUCACAAACUGGCGGAUAUCACUUCGCAACAUCUCAUGAUAACGAGCCUUCUUCAUUUCCUCAUCAGUUGCGUACUGAGGAACGAGAAGUGCCCUCUCCCUGAACUUGGCGGUAAUCUCCGCCACUGUCUCUGUCGUCUGGGUGAGGUCCUGAAACUCCCUGGCUAUCUGCUACACCUCAAUAACCGAUGCAAACUCAGCCCUGAACCUGGUAGUAAAGUCAGCCCAGGUCAUGGCAUCCAAAGUUGUGUCAUCCCCGAUGACAUGUCUGAUCUCCUCCCACCAAUCCCGUGCCCUGUCCUUCAGAAGACAGGACGCCAAUCUGACCUUUCCCCCCUCGGGACAUCUGCUCGUGCGGAAAGCGUUGGCCACAUCAGCCAACCAUCUAGUACUCGAUAUGGGGUCCCGUACCCCAUGAUAAUCUGGAGCUCCACAAGCCCAGAACUCUCUGAACGUAAGCGUGCGUGACCCCAUCAUGGCCGCCACCUCAGCAUGAAAUGUGCCUAGCUUCUCCUCCAUCAACUCUAGUAUACCCUCCUUGAUCGAACCGAAAAUCAUUGGUGUCUGCUCAAGAAUGAUACGGGUCACCUCUGAAGUGAAAAACUCCCUAGUCUGCUCAUCCAACUGCCCGGCCACCGAGCCUGGUCUUGAUCCCACCCCAGCACCUGAACUGCUGGUCUAGAGCGUAAAACCACCAUUCUGGAAACACAUAACGAUAAACGUCAGAAACACUGAUAUAUCUCGAGGGAUCACUACUACUACAGGCCUUCCGGUCUCAUCUCAACCUUCCUCGAUUUAAGUACGGAUCCUCUGCUUCCAGUAGUAUGGGCCCCUACUACCUUCCACAUCUAUCCGUACUCUCCUCAAGGACCGCCUCGACUCCACCAAGCCACUACUACUCCUGAUGAUCUCUACUACUCUCAUCCUAGGCUUUCCCUAGAGAAACCUUUGACUCGACCCAAACCAGUCCUCAGCCGCUGAAGGCCUCCUUGUAAUGCCAAUUAGUCGCCACCUGAAUACCGUCACAUAUGAUGAGGCUUGGAUAAUCCUUCAAGUAAAAGACUCGUCCCUACAAUGGUUAGACUCAAACGAGAGUUGCGCAGUAGGUCCAAAUCCAGCACUCUGAGAUUAUUCAACCCUGGUCACAUGUGAUGUGAUGUAUUCACCUAACGGCUAACUCCCAUUACUCGGAGUACCACAAAGCACAUAGCAAGUAGCAUUUGGACACAGGAAACUACUCAAGCAAUUUUAUCCUCAUAACGAGAAACUGUACUGGCAUAUAAUGCUAAGCUCAUACUAUCAGGCAUAACCUAAACAGGCUAUCCUACUGCUGUCUAAUCAAUACUAGCAUGCAAUUCUCAUAAAGCUGAAACACAUAUAGCAGGUACAUAAGGCAUCCUCCUAGAUCCUUAGUCCUAUUCUAGCAUGUUGUUCUACUGUAACUGAAAUUGAUAAUCAUAACAUAAACUUGUAUGGGUAAUUUGGGAGUACUUACUUGAGCUCGGCUGGUCGCAUGCACAACACCCUUUUUGAUGGGUUUGAUCCAUAAGAACUUUCCUAUGUGCACAUGCAAACCCUAAUUGCUUGGAUCUAGGUUUCUCUAAUUGAGCAUGCAUUCUAUCCAAUACUUUCAAUACUAGAUCUAAGGUAAACAAUUGAUUCUAAUCAUAUGAAUUAAGUUCUAGAAUAAUACCUUGGAUUACUUGCUUGAUACUUCUUCUUCUUGGAGCUUAGAGUCACAAUUGUCACUCCUUUAAUGGCUUACAAACACCAACUAGCAAGAAGAUGAUUUGAGAGAGAGGGAGGAGGGUGAGAAAUUGGCCCUAGGGUUCCUUGCCUUGCAUGAGUGCCGAUUUCCCUCACCCUAGGGAUCUAUUUAUACUAUGGGAUACUAGGGUUUCACCUUUAACCCUAAUUGAAUAACUUAGGCCCUAAGCAAUCCAAGAUCCUUCUAGAUUUUAGGCUUGGACGAAUUUAAGGUUCCCAAACCCAAAAUUUCGUCCACCCCAUUAUCUAUAAGGAUACAUAGCCCAAAACACAACUAUCACACAUUUGACAGUUUAUGCCCCUUUAUUCAAUUAACCUCUUUAAGUCACCAAAUUAAUUCUAAAUUAAUAUAUGACUUAUAUUAAUCAAAUAAAAUUAUUAUUCCUUUAAUAUAUUAUUCUCAUAAUAUAUUAACAAUAAUAUUUCUUCUCUCUUAACAAAUCAUCCUGUCAAGUUGCUAUGGUGAAAGCAACCCAAAAGGACCAUGCACAACCGGGUCAAGUACUUACCAAAUAUAGUUACAGCCUUAGACACUAAUCCAACACUUUUCUCUUUUCAAAGUUCUUUUCUUUCUAAAAAUUCUUUUCACUUUUUCUAAAACUCUUUUCUUUUCUCAAAACUCCCUUUUUACAAAAACUGAUUUUUCUUUUUUUAAAAAUUCCUAUACCAAUUCCUUAGUUUGAGUUCAGACACACUCGAAAGUGUGCCCGAAUCCCUCAAACCAAGGCUCUGAUACCAACUUGUAACGACCCAAAAUACGACCCAAAAUUUUUUGUUUAAUCAUUACUAAAAUCAUUAGAUCAAUACCAUAAAAUAAAACCCAUGAGUCAAUGUAUCCAAAACCAUAACAAAGUAUCACAAGAAAACUGUAUCAAAUCAUAUCAAUGAAAAACUAAUCAACUCCCAGGACAAGAACUGUAGCUGUGGUGUGUGCGAUGCCAUCAUCCCGAGCUCUUCCCUUUACUUGCGGAAGUACCUGAAACCAAAACUGAAAACUGCAAGCAUGAAGCUUAGUGAGCUCCCCCAAACUACCACAUACCAUACAAUAACAUGUAACACAUACUGGGCCUUGCCCACUGUAUUGGACCGAAGUCCGGAAACUGAACCGGACCGAAGUACGGAACUAACCAGGGCCCUGCCCACUGCAUCAGACCGAAGCCCGGAAACUACAUCGGAUCGAAGUCCGGAACUAACAGGGCCUUGCCCUCUGCAUCGGACCGAAGUCCGGAAACUGCGUCAGACCGAAGUCCGGAACUAACUGCAUCGGACCGAAGUCCAGAACUGACUGAACAUAACAUUGCAUAAACAUAUCAACUAGCAUGAACACAUAUACGGCAUACUACAUCGGACCAGGGUCCGGAACACAUAACACAAAACAUGCUUGAAUCACAAAGACAUCAAGCAAUCUAACUACUGUAUCGAACCGAGGUACGGAACUACUGCUAACUAAACGGGCCGACAUUGUGGUCGUAGACCCGUUCCUUCUGGAAGGAAGACCCACCUCAUAGUCUAGCUGCUGAAUGAACUGCUCUGGAAUCUGUCUGUUGCGGCUCCGGUUUCAUCCCGACUACAAUUUCCAUAAGUACACUCAAUCAAUUACUGAUAACCAUACUGAGGGUAAAAUGACUAUUUUACCCCUAGUCAAAGUCAACCCUCUGGUCUAAGUCAACAUACAGUUGACCUGACUCGUCGAGUUGGGCCGCCAACUCGUCGAGUCCCUAUUCUCAUCUCUCAAUCUUGCCCGCUACUACUCGUCGAGUUGGGCAUAAACUCGACGAGUUCCUUUUCAAUACUAACAUUCAGUCAAUCUGCAUCUGACUCGCCGAGUUCUAUGAACAAAUCGUCGAGUUCUCCUUCAUCAUAUGAACACUCUGGCUGUGACUCGCCGAGUUGUAUGAACAACUCGCCGAGUCUGUUCUUGAGAUAUGAAGAUUGUCUUAGACUCGCCGAGUCAGGGCAUUGACUCGCCGAGGCUCUCCNCAUUGACUCGCCGAGUCUCUCCAUGAAUGAUUCUGAUCUCCGACUCACUGAGUCCAUCUACAACCCACUGGUUCCACUCAGCAUAACUCACAAAGAGAAACAUCAGGGACUCGCGACUCGACUCGCCGAGUCCGAAGAACGACUUGCCGAGUCGGUUGCAUGCAACUUCUAUACAGUCGAUUCUGCUCGAAUCCAGUGCAUCCAACUUAUAGAUCUAGGUUCCUAAGGCUUGAUUAACACGUAAAGUUUCCAACUUUACGUGUACAUAGGCAUCCAUAAAGGUUUAAAGGCUCAAAAUGCACUAAAAGGGGUAGAUCUAGGGUCCUCAUGCAAAAUGGUUCCAUAAAGGCAAUAUAUAUGAGCUUCUAGAUCUCCAAUCUUGGUAGAUCCGAAGGCUAUUCGACACCACAUGCUAUCCAUAACACUAUUAAGCCAAAAUGGCAAAAACAAGCUACUUAUGAGAUCUACUUGAAGAAGGAUAAGGGUUUGGGGCUAAUACCUCAAUGAAGACUGUGAUACCACCAAGAACUCAGAUCUACUUGCUUCUCCCUUGAUUCCUCCUCUUCUCUUCUCUUCUUCUAAUUCACCAAUGAAUCACAACUUCACAAAGUGAGGAAAAUCACACCAAAAUGAUAAGGGAGGCUAGGGUUUUCGUGUGAGGCUUUUCUGUGGGUGAGGGGGCUAAUGGAUGCCCAAAAGUUGUUUAAAUAGGGUACAAACCCGCGGAUUUAGGGUUUCUUCCAGACUGGCGGACUCGCCGAGUCCCGAAUAUGGACUCGUCGAGUUGCCUAACUACACGUGCUCGGGAACCCAUCUCUACUCGACGAGUCGGGCUACUGACUCGCUAAGUUCCUCUUAAAAAAAUAUUUGACUAAAACAAAAUUAAAUAGCAUACCAGAAUUGGGGCAUUACAUAAACUCAUGAAACAUUUUCUACAUGUUACCUUAUUAUAAUCCCCCAUCUUCUUGAUUAUGGUUGAUGAUUAAAAAAGUGCAUUGAAAUUAUGUCGUUGUUUACCGAUAGGAAAAUGACUUAUAAUGAUAAGUUUACUAAAAUUUAGAAAAUCAGUAAAAUCAACAUCAGGUGAUGGGAAACCUACUUUUAUGUAAUGAUAUGUAUUUUUUGAAAUGAUAUUUUUUUCAAUAAAUUAUAUAACGACAAAACUACAAAUUUGGUCCAUGUGGUAUUCAAAAAACUUUGGAUAGGGUCCAAAAAGUUUUCAAAUUGCAUGGAAUGUCCAAAAUCAAGGUUUUUCUGGGUAUUUGGUCCAAAAAAACUUAAAAUGACAAAUAUGCCAUUUUGAUUUCUUUUUUCCUUUUUCUAUAAGUAUUUUAAUGCUAUACUGAUUUAAAAAAAAAAAAAAAGAAUUUUCCACCCCCACCCCAACCGUACACACUCUCUCUCUCUAUCACCCUAUCUCUCUCUCUUUGACUCUUUCUAUCUCAUUUCACUGGUUACUCCACCAAUUUCUGAUGAACGUACAUACACAUGACAAUCUCUAUCACAAAAGAAAACCCACAAAAUCCAAUCUACAAUUGAUUUAUGUAUGUGUGUAUGUGUAGGUUUCAUUCUGGAAAAUUUUCCCCCCAUAAGAUCCAAAUCAAAAAGCUUUUUAUGCCUCUUUCUGAAACUGAAAUCGAAGUCAACACCCGCCUCCCAUCCCUCAUAUCUACUUCUCAUCUUACUCUGAACCAAAGGAGACUGAAUCGAUGUCGUCAUUGAAUCAUUUCAAGUGGGAGUUUUCAAAGGAUUUUGUUGUUGUUGUUGCUGCAGGUUGGUUCUUGAGAAAUCGAGUUUUCUGAUGAUUCUGAUUUCUUGGAUAUGUUGAGAAGGGCUAGAGUUUCAAAUUUAGGGACGUUGGUUGUUGGUGAUUAGGACAUAGCACUGGGGAGACAAGCUGAUUUGUGGGUUCCAUUAAAUAGGGUCAAGAAUGGCGAGAUUACAGAAUAGUAUUUGGUACUCAGAACCAGAAAUGAUUUCAUAUGAAUUUUUAUGUUCAUUCCCAGAAAUCUAGAGAGAUAGAGAGGCUACGGUCGGUUUAGGUGGGGUCGAGUGGGCGAUGGAUGCCGACAAUGGGAGAGGUGGCUAGAGAUUGGCAAGGUUGCUGGAGGUGGGUGAUGAUGGAUAUGGUCUGGUUUGUUCAUCUAGAAAUUGCAGGUGAAAUGUCAGGAGGAAGAAUGAGAUAGAAGAGAGAGAGAGAGAGAGAGAGAGAGAGAGAGAGAGAGUAAAAAAGGAAAGAGAAAGGGGAAGGGUACGAUGGAGAAGGAUAGGGGUGUAGUUUUACUUUUUAUUUUUUAAUAAUUAUUUAAAUUCUGAAAUAAAUAAAAAAUGUAAAAAAGAAAUAAUAAGGGUAAAAUGGUAUUUUCAUAUUUAUUUGGACCAAAACCAUAGAAAAGUUUUGAUUUUGGACCUUUCAUGCAAGUCAGAAACUUUUUGGACCCUAUCCAAAGUUUAUUGCAAACCACAAGGACUAAAUUUGCAGUUUUGUCUUAUAUAACAUUAAUGGUAAAAUGUGUACAAAAAAAUUUUAAUGGUAAAAUGUGUACAAAAAGCAGUUUAAUGGUAUAAUGUGUACAAAAAAUAGUUUAAUGGUAUAAUGUGUAUAUAAUAAACAGUAAAAUCCACGUCAGCAGCCACAUGGCAUGCCACGUGGCAUGCUACGUGGCUAAUGACCUAUUAUUAUCGGUAAUAUAAUGGUAUUUUUUGAACAAAUGUGAAGUUUAAUAGUCAUAUGUGUACAAAAGCUAUAGUUGAUUGGUGAUAUGUGUACAAAAAAAAGUUCAAUGGUAUUUUUUGUACAAGUCUAAUACUUUGUUACCCAUACAAGUCAUUUUCCCUAUCUUAAAAUAGACAAAACUGUAAGAUUGGUCAUAAAACUUUGGAUAGGGUCCAAAAAAUUCCCAACUUGUAUCGAAAGUCCAAAAUCAAAGUUUUUCUGGGUUUUUGGUCAUUGAGACACUUGAAAAGUCGAUUUUGCUCUUUUCGUUUCUUUUUUCUAUUUUCUUUAUUUACUUUGGUAUUUAAAUAAUUAAAAAUAAAAAAUAAAAAAUAAGUUCUCUCUCACACACACACACACACACACUCUCUCUCUCUCUCUCACGCACACACAAAAACACAGAUCGGUUUCUCUCUCAGUAAGCUGCAUUCCCCAACAAACUACUUGUCGGAACUACUCUCAAUACACCACUAUUAACCACAUUUCAAAAUGGGAAAGAACUCGAAAUUCUUCAAAUCACUCCUUGGAUUCCGGACCACUAAAGCCCCCGCCACCUAAUCUUCACGUUCAGAGCUUAAAAAGCCAAAGUGACGGUGGAGUUUUGCGAAUUUGCACAAAGAGAUUCCUCAGCGUGGACUCCGGGACACUUCCAAAAAAAUCCCUUUUUUUGGACCUCCGAUGUUAGAUCUGCGUGUUCUUGGGACUCCGAUUUUGCUCUGUAACUCAACUUUAGAUUUCAUCUUCUCCCAUAGAGUUGCCCCGACGAAUAGAAUUUGGUUCAAAACUCGAUUUCAGACGUUCAACCCUUUCAGAUCAAAAAUCGAUUAAAAAAAUGGGUUGGAGAUUUCAAGAAGAUGAUAGUGUUGUAUAUUUGGCCAUUGAUGUUCCUGAAUCGAGGUGGAGGUAAACAGAGACAAAGUUUUGUUGAGAAAUCGAUAUCUUGCCUUCAAUUUUCAUUUCGUUUUCAAGGUUUUGUUGAGAUAUAGGCUUUGUAGCGUUGCCUACCAUGGAGGUUAUCUUCGAAAUUGCAGAGCUAGGGUUUCCAGCGAUGGUGAAAUAGUAAUGGUUUUUAUGCGUCUUCUUUGUUUCCCAGUGCGAAAUAAAUGAACGUGAGGACGACAAGGCAAAGGUGUGGAUCGGAAGAGAGGAAGGUAUCGUACAACCAAUUACAAAGCAAAUCCGUGCCUGAGUCGGAUUCGAGAGAGGACGUGAGCGAAGAAGAUACAAUGGUGUUCUUGAAUGUAGAAAGAACAAAUAAAUGUGAGUGUUAUUGGUUGCUGACGAGAGAGAUAGAGAGGGAGAGGGGGGGUACGGUGGGUGGAGUUAGAGGGGUAGGGUGAUAUUUUUUUUAUUUUUUAUUAUUUUUUUAUUUUUUAAAUACUAAACACAAUAAAAAAUGGUAAAAAAGAAAUAAUAAGGGUAAAAUGGACAUUUCAAUAUUUUCAGGACCAAAACCAAAAAACCUUGAUUUUGGACCAUCAAUGCAAGUUGGAAACUUUUUGGAACCUAUCCAAAGUUUUUUAAAUACCACAGGUACCAAUUUUGCAGUUUUGUCCUUAAAAUAACUACUUUCUUUUGUAAAUAACUUUUUUAAUUAAUUUUUUAUUAAUAUUAUUUAACUUAUUUGAUUUAUUAUUAUUAUUAAAAAUAUUAUAAAUAGUAAUAAUAUAAAUAAUAUAAUAAAACAAAAUUUGUUUUUAUUAACCAUCACAUAUACAAAUAAUUUUGAGUAUUAUAAUAGUGAGGUGCAUUAUACUUAUUAUGAGGAACAUAAAUAUUAAGUUGAGCGCCCGAUCCAUAUAUACGCAAUAUACAAGGUUUUCUCUAUAGUUUUCUAAUAUAACUUUUUUUCUUUUACUAAAUGAUUUUUUUUGUAAAUAAUUUGCAUCGAAAGUUGUGAUACAAUUAUGAAAAAUGUAGUAGGAUACUUAGACUAGAAGGAGUGGGAGGGAUGGUUCCCUCACUUUUGGUGGGCCUUCCUUCCUCACUCUCCUUUCCCUCACCUAAAAGCCAAGGAGUGGGAGGAAAACCCUUCCCUCACUUUUUUUUUUAUUUAUUUUUUAUAAUUUUAAAAUUAAUAUCAAACAUAAAAUUUAAUUAAAAAUAAAAAGCAUUUCAUUAAGUAAAAUAAAAAUUACAUUAACCCUAAAAUUUAAAUAAGUAGAAAAAAAAAACCCNAAGUAGAAAAAAAACCCCCAAAAAAAAAUCAAACAAACUACAACAUAGUAAAAAUUAUUAAUUAAUAUCCUAAUAUUAUUUAAACCUAGAUACGUCACUCGGAAUCAUCGUCUUCAUCCUCGCCUACAUCAUCUGCAUCAUUCUCCCCAGCGUCACUCUCGUCGUCGGAAUCUUCACUCUCGACGAACAUAUCAGAAUCCUCGUCUGAUUCGUCAAACAAAUCAUCAUCGUAAGAUAACUCUUGCGGGGGCUGAACAUGAGCCAUAUAAAUGUGCUCCACCAAAUCAGCACGAAGGGCCUGAUGAAGAUCGCGAUUGUGUACUUCUCUUCUGUUCACCCUAUACUCUUGUUACCAACGGCNACGGCUACUCCUUCGACAUUUGGCAAAACUUCAUUUUCAUUAUAUCGGCAUAUCGCUCUUCCUUCGUCUUCAAGAAUCAUAUUAUGCAAUAUGAUACAUGCAUACAUUACGUGUCGUAACCUUUUCACCUCAUAUAACCUUGCCCCAUCCGUUAGUACUUGCCAACGUCUCUUAAGUACACCAAAUGCUCACUCCACAUCCUUUCUAGCUGACUCUUGCGCCUCUUUAAACUUUUUCCUUUUCGGGUCGUUAGGACAUGUAAACGAUUUCACAAAAACAGACAAAGGAGGAUAUAUACCGUCAGUAAGAGAGUAUUCAUGCUUAUAUGCUACCCCAUUUGCUUGAAAAGGUACAUUGUGUGACUUUCCAAGGUAGAUAUCGUUGAAUACAGGCGACUGGUCUAGCACGUUAAUGUCAUUGUUUGCACCAGCUGGACCAAAGAAUGCAUGUCAUAUCCAAAGAUCAUGUGAUGCGAUAGCCUCUAGAAUAAUCGUCGGCUCUUUGUGGUCGCCUCUCAUGUACUGACCACGCCAUGCGUUGGGGCAUAAUGCCCAACUCCAAUGCAUGCAAUCGAUACUACCUAGCAUUCCAGAGAAUCCAUGUUUGCCUUCAUGUACCGUAUACAAUUGGUGGAUAUCGUUGAUAGUUGGUUUGCGCAAAUAUCGUUGCCCGUAAACCAAACAGGUCGCUUUGCAGAACUUGUACACAUAGUCCCUCACGGUACGCUCUGACAUUCUAAAAUACUCGUCCCAUUUGUCUGCGCCCAUGCCGUAUGCUAGCUGACGAAUUGAAGCCGUGCAUUUUUGAAUGGGAGAGAAACCUUUUUUCCCCUUGCAUCCAUUUUCCAUUGGAAAUAUGGAAAACGGCAUUCCAAAUCGCCAACAAUACGUAAAAAUAGUUCAUUUCUCAUCCGGAACCGACGUCGAAAUUUUACAGCGUAGACGGCGUCAUCUGUAAAAUAAUCUUCUAUAAGACGAUCGUGUCCGGCUUCGUGAUUUCUACGUAACGGCGGCAUUCUUAGGUUAGGUCGUGGACGUGAUGUUUCACCAAGUCGGUUUUGAUAGUAUGCAACCGUUUUCGCCAUGACGGAACCGAUAAACUUAGUCUCCUCUACUGCCGUCGAAUCGGAUGAUGAAGAUGAUGACAUUUUGAGUAAUAUUUUUAAGAAAGAAAUAUAGAGAAAUAUAGAUUAUGGUUUAAAAAAUGAUAGAAUGUGUGAGUAUUUAUAGAUUAAGAAAAGGAAAGGAAAAAAGAAUAUAUAUAUAUAUAUAUAUAUAUAUAUAUAUAUAUAUAUAUAUACACACACACACACACACAUAGCACGUAAUUNNNNNNNNNNNNNNNNNNNNNNNNNNNNNNNNNNNNNNNNNNNNNNNNNNNNNNNNNNNNNNNNNNNNNNNNNNNNNNNNNNNNNNNNNNNNNNNNNNNNNNNNNNNNNNNNNNNNNNNNNNNNNNNNNNNNNNNNNNNNNNNNNNNNNNNNNNNNNNNNNNNNNNNNNNNNNNNNNNNNNNNNNNNNNNNNNNNNNNNNNNNNNNNNNNNNNNNNNNNNNNNNNNNNNNNNNNNNNNNNNNNNNNNNNNNNNNNNNNNNNNNNNNNNNNNNNNNNNNNNNNNNNNNNNNNNNNNNNNNNNNNNNNNNNNNNNNNNNNNNNNNNNNNNNUACAACAAAAUAUAUAUAUAUAUAUAUAUAUAUAUAUAUAUAUAUAUAUAUAUAUGAAAAAAAUUAAUAAUAAUAAUAAUAAUGAUAAUAAUAAACAAAAAACAAAAAAAAGGACCAAAAAAACAAUACUCUUUGUGAUGUGAUUGAUAUUGGGGGUUUGGAUGAUACAGUUAGUGUUGGGGGUACGUAUAGUAACACCUUAUUUACAUACAAGUAUAGCAUUACGACCACCAAGGUUGUUAUUGACUUGCAGUUCUAUCAAUGUUACAGCCACCAAGGCUACCAUCUUAAUUCGUUAACAACAUAUAAAGUAUAUCAUUACAGUCACCAAGGUUGUCAUUGAUUUGCCAUUCAUCUACGAUGAUAUUACGGCCACCAAGGCUACCACCAUACCCCAAAACAACAUACAAGUAUAGAAUUAGUUCAAUGAUGAUAUUAUGGCCACUAAGGCUAACAUCAUAAUCUGGUACAAACAUAUAAGUAUAACAUUAUGACCACUAAUGCUAACAUCAUAAUCGAUACUAACAUACAAGUAUAACAUUACGGCUACCAAGGCUGUCAUUGACUUUUAUUUCUCAAAGAUGGUAUUACGACCAACAAUGCUUCCACCAAUAUCAGGCAUGCAGACUCACAACACGAUAUCGUUCUUACCAACAUCCCAUCGGAGGCAUACAACCUCAUCAUACUGCCUUAUUGCUAACAAAACUAUAUCACUCUAGUCUAACACAUGUUUUCCACAAAACGGUACACCAACGUCCUACCUUACAACAGACAUACAAUUUCACAUAUAAUAGAAUAGGAAACCCCUUUCAUAUAGUUCAAUGAUCAUCAACUAAAUAAUCUGUAUAUAUAUUGCACAACAAUACUCCACUAUAUAACUUCUUUAUUUCGCAUAGCCAUUAACAACUUCGCCGACAUUCUACUACUCAUAACCACUACAACUAGAUUUAUCGUUUAAUCAAUAUAAUAUAACUUAUCUAUAAUUUAGUUGAACCAUCUCAUUGUUUCACAUAACAAUAACCCACUAUAAUAUUCAACCAUUUCGGUUCACCACAACUCUCAACCAUACAUAACCUUACAAGUUCCAAACCCAAACGUAAGAUUUCAUAAUAAUCAUAAUAUUGAAAUUAUCAUGCAAUACAAUAAUAAACACACAUAUGAAUAACAUAUAUCUAGAAGAAGGAUGCGAUUACUCACCUGGUCAAUCAGUGGGGCCUAAAUAUGAUUUUGGCAUCAAGCUUUGCUCUGAUUUCCAACUCAUCAUUUGUCCAGACCUAUUCAGACAAUAUAUCAAAUUCAUUAGAACUUACCUAAACUCACCAUUAUCAACCACAAUGAUCAGUUACCUGAUUCCCAACUAAACUCGAUCACCAUUCAUUAACAAACCAGUCAAGUUCCCAUAUAUAACCGCUAGAUGACUUAACCCCAUAAGCCGUUAGCCUAAUCGACAAUUAUGAUAAAUUAGGGUUUACAACCCUUAACCAAAUAGAUUAAGAUGUUCACUAUAAAUUCAUUAAUUAAAAAUUGGUCACUAAGUUGUAACAACACCAUACCACGACCUUUAUAACAUACUUGGGGUCUAACAACCCUUUAUAAUAUGCUACGUAAGUAUAAUUACGUAUCAACGAAUCAAGAGGAUAUUUUAGCUCGUAUGACAGUCGUACCCUCAUUAAUCGGUCUCACGGCCUCUGUCUCAACGCUAUAAUUGUUGUUCAACAAUUCUAAAUUUGUUCAGCCAAAGCACUGUUUCAACUAUUUAUACAAGACUGAUUACGUAAUCCGAGUUGCGACAUUAACAUAAUCAGGCCCCGACCAUGUGUAGCACCUCAAAAUCAGCCAUGUAGCUCAUUUCCUCACCACGUGUCUAUUCUCACACCGCAUGUCCCCUACUGUCACGACUCUUCAUCGCGUCGCGAUAUUAACAUACUCACGUCGUGACAUAGCAAUGUACUUUAAGUUAUAACAGUGUUGUGACACUCGUUUUGUUUUUAGUAAAUUAUAAUCUAAGAUAUAUUAAUAGUAUAAAAUAUAUAGGUGAAUGUGUUAGAAAUUAAGUAAUGUCGUAAUAAAAGAGUUUAAAUCAAAAGAGUAUUUUGGCCAUUUUGUGUAAUUCUUGAAUUUCUGGUAAAUUUUAUGAUUUUAUAAAAAAGAAAUGUUGUAGCAUAAACAUGUGCUAUAAGAUGAAUAAUUUAUGAGUGCAAAGGACUUAAUGCUACAUAAUGUUCAUCUUCACGGGGUGUAUCAUUGUGGUUAUCACUCAGAUAAAACAUAUACAAUAUUUCAUUGUUCACUUUGAAGGGAACAUUCUUAUGACAAGUAUUCUAUUGCUAACUAUUAACUUCUUACAAUUCAUAGGAUACAAAAGAUGUUUUAUCCUUUAGGAGAAAAGACGUGAAUGCCCUCGUCCUUUUGAGAGUAGCCUUUAAAAACUUAUACAGUCCUGGCCCAUGUAGCACACACAACAUUAUAAAACAAGUUCAUAGAGAUUAUGGAAAUAAAGAAUAUUUAUUUCCAUGCAAUAUUUGCUCAAGGAAAUUAUUAUUAUUAUUAUUUUAAUAUUUUCUAGUCCUAGGUGCACAGAAAGGAUGGCUGGCAACAUUGAGAAAUUGGGUGGAGCUCAAUACAUGUUUCUCGCUCACAAGUAUAAUGAUGAUGAGUUCAAGCAACAUUCGAUAAUUGUAAUAUUAUAUAAGCUAUUUAUUGACUUUUCUUCUUAAAAUUAGGGAUGCCACAUGAUUUGAGAUCACAAGAAGUGAUCUAAGCGAUUAGGUUGUAAAAGAAUUCUCCACUCCAAAGAAGUAUGAUAUUUCUGCUAUUUUGUCUUGUCAUUUGUUAGCUACCUAGUGGGCUUAUGUACCUGAUUUAUAUCAUCAUUAUAGUGUGAGCUAUAUAUUUCAGGGUGUUAACUUUUUAGUAGAUAAUUCUUGAUAUGUUUGUUUUCAUUAAAAAAAAGUGGUAAAUUUAUAAUUUUUGAUGCAUUUAAGGUAAAUGUAUCGACAAAAGAGGUGGACUAAAUAUCUACAGUCUGAAAAAAGAAAACUGUUAGAAAACUGUUUGUUUUUUUAACAUCUGCAAACUACUAAAAUAAACUAAAAUUUAAAUAAACUGAUUUUUUUAAACUACAAAGUGAUCUUUUAAUAUAUUUAUGACUUUGUUAUAAAUAAUUAACAAAUCUAAAUCAACGUUUAGUAUUAUUAUAUAAAAAGUGAAAAUAAAAAUGGUACAAAUCAACGUAUAUAUUUAAAAAAAAAACCAACAAUUUUGGUCGUAAAGUUAUGCCUAAACAUUGUAAUUAGGAAUCAAAGAAUUUGAUAUAUAAAUGAAUGAAAAUGAACUUCGAUUUUGUCAAUUAAAUCAAUUAAAAACAUGCACAAAUAUUUUUUCUAAAAAAUUGAUGAUGUUUUAUUAAAUAAUGUUUUAUAAAAUUUGGCACAAAAAAUAUAAAAAUAUAUUAUUAUUUUUUUCAUAUAUAUAUAUAUAUAUAUAUAUAUAUAUAUAUAUAUAACUGUAAAAAAAAAAAAUANUGACGACUAUUAUUGUAAUAAAUUUUUAUUUAUAAAUUUGUCAAAAAUAUCAUGUUUGUGUCGUCGAACUUUUUUUUUUAAGUAUUGUAACUUUUUUUUUUCAAAUUGUUUAUCACUAAUAAAGUUGGAAUAAAUAUAAAUUCAAAAAAGAUAAAAAUAAAGUAUAUGUGUUUUUUUAGGCUAGAAGAUGUCUGAAGAUGUUAAAAGACUUUGGUUCACAUCUGCGCCAAGAAAAGGGCGCACAAACAUUUUUAGGUCUGCAGUUUUCAAAUAAACAAACAGUCUACGAAAGAUAAUGUAUGUGCGUGGUCUGCGCCGCGCAGACUGAAAAGGCCAAAAAGAUCUGCGGACAAAAAACAAACACUACCUUAAUGAUACCACCUUAAUGAUGACAUUCAAUUUAUACACACACCAGGACACACAAAAGUAGGGGUGAGCAAAAACCGCACCGCAACUAAAAUUAACCGCAAAAACCGCAACCGCAAUANCCGCAAUAAAAACCGAUAGUGAGGUUUUCUGUUUUUCAAAAACCGCAAAUUUGCGGUGCGGUGCGGUUAUUAGUUUCCAAAAACCGCAAAAAAACCGCACCGCACCGCAUAUAUUAUAUACAAUUUUUUUUUAUCAAUUAUUAGUUUAUUAAAUAUUAAAAAUAAGACAAGUUUCAUGAAUGAGAGACAAAUAAAAUAGUAGAAAACAAAAAUGUUGGUUUUUUUUAUGUUUAACUUUGAAAAUAAUGAAAUUAGAUAAUUUUAAGAUACUUAUUGUUAAUUACUAAUGAUUUGACGUUUUUAAGAUAUUAGUUGUUUGUGGUUUAAGUUAAAUAGUUAAUUGUCUUAUACCUUAUGUUUUUUUUUAUUAUUACAAGUAAUAUGUUUGAACUUUUAAAACUAUUUGAGCUCUAAACUAGGAUUAAAAACCACACAAAUUAAUCGCAACAAAUCCAUGCGGUUAAUAACCGCAACACAGAAAAAACAAAACCGCACCGCAAAAAUAACCGCCUAACCGCACCGCAAAAAUAACCGCACUAUACGGUUUUGAAAAUGGAUUAACCGCAUUUGCGGUUAGUGGUGAGGUUUUGGCUAAUAACCGCACCGAACUGCACCGCGCUCAACCCUACACAAAAGUGAGUAGACAACCGAUUAUUUGAUUAUUACAACUUUGAUUAUUACAACCGAUUAUAAUUAUUUUGUAUUAAAUAGUCACUUUCAGAACGCACAUCCAAAUAAUAUGUUUUAUAAACAAUUGAUAAUUUAUAUGGACAAGAUCAGUCUGCUUGUUUUACAAGCCCUUAAAGGUUUGGCAAUGGAGGAAUCUAAGCUGACAGUUUAUGAGAUAUUUAACUUUUAUUCAGUUAUAACGCAUUUGAUCUCUAUAAUUUUGACAAAAUAAAAUUUAUCUAGUUAUAUUAAAAAAGUUAAUUAUUGAUUUUAUACACUAAGUUAUCAACAUUCUAUAAGGGAAUCUCAAACCCAACACUAAACUAAUAGCAUUUUUUGCACCACUUUGCUUGAACCAACACCAUUUUUUGCAUCAUUUUGGGGUACAUGAUUAUUAAUAUACUAUUAAAUUUGAUGUUAUACCAUUUUUUGCAUCAUUUUUGUGUACAAGAUUAUUAAUAUAAAAUUAAAUUUGGUGUUACAUCAACUUUCAUAUGUCAAUAUUGGUGUAGUACAAAUUAUUGGUGUUAUGUGUUGCAAAUGUCUAAAGAAAGAAAGCUUAUAACCUAAAAUAAAAAGGUUAAUUACAUAAAGACCCUAUAUAUUUAUUGGGUUUUUUUUUACAGAUUAAACUUUAUUUUUUCCUGAAAAAUCCUUUACAUUGUUUCAUUUUUUCGGUAUGAUCUUUUACUUUUUAGUAUGUUUAUUGGUAAUCUUCUGGUUUUAUACAAAGAUGUAAAGGUUAUUUUUUAGAAAAAAAAAAUAAGUUAAUGUUUAAUCCAAAAAACAUUGGUAAUCUUCUGGUUUUAUACAAAGAUGUAAAGGUUAUUUUUUAGAAAAAAAAAAAAUAAAGUUAAUGUUUAAUCCAAAAAAAUGAAAAGAUGUAAGGGCUAAAUCAAAAAAAUGGAAAAACAUAAGGACCAAGUUAGAAGGCUUUUUCGAAAAAAAAAAAAAAAAAAAAAAAAAAACGAAGUUGAAUUUUUAGAAGGCUUUUUAUUGAAAGUCCUGGAUUUUGUUCCUUCUUUCAAAUUUAAAGUUUUUCGUCCCUUAAAAAAUAUUUUCCUUUUCGUCCCUUGAAUUAAAACUGUCAGUUUUUUUCCUACCUAAUAUAAAAAUGAACAUUAAUAACUAAUUUCAUACUUCAUAAAGAUACAACAUUGUUUGGAGAAGUAAUCAUUAAAAUAUAAAACUUGUAUGCCAUAUUUUAUUUCCAAUUUUCAGUGGUUAUAGUGUUAUACAGUUUGGAUAGUGUUGCUAUGUUGCUUGAGGUAGAAUUCGAGUGGAUAUUACCAAGUACAUACUUUUGUCCCACCCAAAAAGAUGGGAUAAAGACUUGUUUUUGUCAAAAGGUGUUAAUGCCCUCAUCUUCACUUUCAAAAAUAAACUUAGAAUCAUGUAUCGUGUAAGUUGUAACAAACAUCAAAAAUAACAACAAAAAGUUAUGUUUGUUACAUAGGACAUGAUUAAAUAAAUGAGUGUAUCAGUAAAAGAUUGCUUUAAUGUUGUGGAUAGGGCAUGGAAGGAGAAAAUAUCAAAGGGAACUUGAAUACAACAUGUUGUAGUGUGUUGAACACCCCAACUUUAUUAUAAUUAACUUUUUUUUAAGUAGUAGUUACAAAAAGGAUUAAAAAGUCAAUGUCCGUAUGUACAUAAAUGUUAAACAAAAAAUUAACACAAACUAUUUUUUAGUAUAUGAUUAUUGAAAUUCAAAUUGCAAACCCCAUCGACAAAAUUACAUACCAAACCAACGGAGACACGAAAUUGAAUUAUUCGAGUUCAAAUGCCAAUUUCUUUGAUUGAAUUUCUUCGAUUUAAAAUUGUUUGACAAAAUUCCGGCGUAAUAGAAGCAAAUAAAAUCAUCAGUGAUUUAGUGAUCAGAAAUAAUACAAUAAAAUCAAAUAAGAUAAUUAAAAAAAGAUCAAAAAACAGUCUUGACAUAAAACAGUUAAAGUCGAGGAAAAAAGCGAUAAAAAAAAAAAAAAAAAAAAAANGGGAAAAAAAAAGAAAAAAAAAAAAAAAAAAAAAAAAAACGAAUUAAAAAAUGCAACAAAAAAAACGAAUUAAUAAAAUUAUACGCAGUGAAUCAACGACCUUUUUCACAAAGUUUGAAGUGUGUGUAUGUCUAAGAAGAAUAUACGAGGCUCAGAUCUGUUUUACCUUCGGAACAAGAAGAUUAAACCGCCAUGGCUGCAAAUACAGAGGUUGCAUUCUCACAAUCGCCGUCCUCCGAUUAUAUGCCCUGCCAAGCUGCGGAUAAUCUCAAAUCAUGUCCCGAUUUUGAAUCAGAUCACGUUUAAUCAUCAUAGCCUCAUAUUUGUGGACAAUAAUUUUGGACGGAAGGAGUAUAAUAUGAAGAAAAGAUAGGAGGAUAUUUAAUUUCUCUAUAUCUAUAUAUAUAUAUAUCAGCAAAAGCUGUACCAGAGGGUUGUUGGAGCUUUAAAGAAUGACAAUGGAAAUCAUCGGCGUCGAGAGGCGGCAACCGCCCUUGGAAACCCUUCUUCCUCUCACAGCCUCAUUCUUUGAGCCGUAAAACAGAAAUCCCUAGCUUUCAUCCGGUUACUAUAUAGUCUAUAAAGUUAUAUUAAGGCCAUCGAUUUGGGUUACCAAUUGGAUCUUUGGAUCUACUUUAAUUUGUCAUUUAU
rnacentral:lncRNA from 1 species